AUGGACAGAGACCAGGAAUCUUCCGAAGGGUCUUUCUGUAAAGACGUACAGCGGCUGAGAAGGAAGAGAAUCUUGCAAAAUUAGCCAAGGACCUUGCAAUUAAAGGGCCCCUGGAAACUUUGCAAAAAACUGGGUCCAGUCAGACAGGAGACCCUGAGAACAGGAACUUCCGAACAGGGGGCUAAUCGGCUGCUUAAACUGUUCCAAGUCCGAAAGCAGCAGGAGAACAUGUUCCCAAGGCGACGGCAUGGGAAGAAUGAUGGGCCUCAGGACAGGGGCUGAAGAGAAGGAGAUGAUGAUGUGCAGAUAAAACUGCAGCAGGGGAUUUGCGGAGGUGCAAUGGAAUCAUAUAAAAGGCACCAGGAGCUCGACAAGGUGGUCGGAAGGAACCAGGCUCCACGGACAGAGGAUCGGCUCCAGCUGCCAGACACCAAUGCUGCAAUCCAUGAAAUCCAGUACUUUGCAGACCUUCUCCCUUCCCACGCGCCGCACCUGGUGACAGGGACACGGCGUCCGUGGACAUGCCCUGCCCCAGGGUACCUCUGUGUUUCCUGCCUUAUCCUCUGCGCUGAGCGAUACAAGCAUCUGGCAGCACCCGGAGCUAUUUAAUCCCGACCCUUUCCUCCAACGUCAAGAA